AGAGUUUGAUCCUGGCUCAGGACGAACGCUGGCGGCGCGCCUAACACAUGCAAGUCGAACGAGAGAGAGGGAGCUUGCUUCCUUGAUCGAGUGGCGAACGGGUGAGUAACGCGUGAGGAACCUGCCUCAAAGAGGGGGACAACAGUUGGAAACGACUGCUAAUACCGCAUAAGCCCACGGCUCGGCAUCGAGCAGAGGGAAAAGGAGCGAUCCGCUUUGAGAUGGCCUCGCGUCCGAUUAGCUAGUUGGUGAGGUAACGGCCCACCAAGGCAACGAUCGGUAGCCGGACUGAGAGGUUGAACGGCCACAUUGGGACUGAGACACGGCCCAGACUCCGUAGGGAGCA
rnacentral:rRNA from 1 species